GUCAGCGCGGGAGGUUUGUACGGAGGCUUCGGCCGAGGUUUCGGUGGAGGCUUUGGCGGAUUUGGUCGAGGCUUCGGAGGCUUCGGCCGAGGCUUCGGAGGUUAUGGUGGAAGCUUCGGCCGAGGCUUCGGAGGUUAUGGCGGAGGCUUCGGAUUAGGACGAGGAUUCGGCGGCGGAUUCGGGCGUGGAUAUGGCGGAUACGGUUAUGGGCGUUGAGAAUGAAAUAAAGAAUGUACUAAGA
rnacentral:lncRNA from 1 species